rnacentral:rRNA from 1 species
UGGGGAAUAUUGCACAAUGGGCGCAAGCCUGAUGCAGCCAUGCCGCGUGUAUGAAGAAGGCCUUCGGGUUGUAAAGUACUUUCAGCGGGGAGGAAGGGAGUAAAGUUAAUACCUUUGCUCAUCGACGUUACCCGCAGAAGAAGCACCGGCCAACUCCGUGCCAGCAGCCGCGGUAAUACGGUGGGUGCAAGCGUUAAUCGGAAUUACUGGGCGUAAAGCGCACGCAGGCGGUUUGUUAAGUCUGAUGUGAAAUCCCCGGGCUCAACCUGGGAACUGCAUCAGAUAAUGGCGAGCUUGAGUGUCGUAGAGGGGGGUAGAAUUCCAUGUGUAGCGGUGAAAUGCGUAGAGAUGUGGGGGAAUACCAGUGGCGAAGGCGGCUCCCUGGACAAAGACUGACGCUCAGGUGCGAAAGCGUGGGGAGCAAACAGG